ensembl:lncRNA TAGAP-AS1 TAGAP antisense RNA 1
UCUUGACUCCGCCCAGCCGCGCCACCCAGAAGCUACAAAUCUUCAGCAUUCUCCACUCUGUGAAGUCAGAGGAAUGGCGGGACCAUAGCUCUGAGCUCAUUGGCAAAUACAACUAAUUUCAAUUUCUGGAAUGGAAGCAGUCAGAUAUUCUUCUGACUGCACGCGUAUGUGGGAGUGCCAUGUUGAAGAGUGGAAAAUAUGGAAGAUCAGUCCCUACAAACUUAAUAGGAGAAUGACAUUCAGAUUUCCCGAGUAUUUUGCAUGUCCAACUGAAAACUGAAGUAGGUUUAUGAGAGAAUGCACGCCUACCUGGAUGGGUCUGGGGAGUGUGUCACUGUCACCGCAGAUAAUUGACAAGGGCUGAUCAAAUAGCGAUGCUUUCAAGUCUGUCUCCAAAGCCCCAGAAAAAUCUGAUGCAGGGGAGAGCCUUCUCAUGAGAAAGGGCCAGGACAGCACCUUCUUUCUCUUCUUAACUUCUACAGCCAAGAAAACAAGGCAACGAGAAAAAUUAGACUACAGUGUUAAGAAGCAAAGAUCCAGGUGACAGCCUGCACGCCAGAUAGAUGCAGCUUCUGUUCGACUCUGUA